GAUGAACGCUAGCUACAGGCUUAACACAUGCAAGUCGAGGGGAAACGACAUCGAAAGCUUGCUUUUGAUGGGCGUCGACCGGCGCACGGGUGAGUAACGCGUAUCCAACCUGCCCAUCACUUGGGGAUAACCUUGCGAAAGUAAGACUAAUACCCAAUGAUAUCUCUAGAAGACAUCUGAAAGAGAUUAAAGAUUUAUCGGUGAUGGAUGGGGAUGCGUCUGAUUAGCUUGUUGGCGGGGUAACGGCCCACCAAGGCAACGAUCAGUAGGGGUUCUGAGAGGAAGGUCCCCCACAUUGGAACUGAGACACGGUCCAAACUCCUACGGGAGGCAGCAGUGAGGAAUAUUGAUCAAUGGGCGAGAGCCUGAACCAGCCAAGUAGCGUGCAGGAAGACGGCCCUAUGGGUGGUAAACUGCUUUUAUAAGGGAAUAAAGUGAGAGUCGUGACUCUUUUUGUAUGUACCUUAUGAAUAAGGACCGGCUAAUUCCGUG
rnacentral:rRNA from 1 species